rnacentral:rRNA from 1 species
UACAGAGGGUGCGAGCGUUAAUCGGAAUUACUGGGCGUAAAGCGUGCGUAGCCGGUUAUGUAAGUCGGGUGUGAAAGCCCCGGGCUCAACCUGGGAAUUGCAUUCGAGACUGCGUAGCUAGGGUGCGGAAGAGGGAAGCGGAAUUUCCGGUGUAGCGGUGAAAUGCGUAGAUAUCGGAAGGAACACCAGUGGCGAAAGCGGCUUCCUGGUCCAGCACCGACGUUCAGGCACGAAAGCGUGGGGAGCAAACAGG